rnacentral:rRNA from 1 species
UACGAGAGGCCCAAACGUUAUUCGGAUUUACUGGGCUUAAAGAGUUCGUAGGCGGCGCAGAAAGUAGGGUGUGAAAGCCCUCGGCUCAACCGAGGAAUUGCGCCCUAAACUACUGUGCUCAAGGAACCUAGAGGUGAGCGGAACUGAUGGUGGAGCGGUGAAAUGCGUUGAUAUCAUCAGGAACACCGGAGGCGAAGGCGGCUCACUGGGGGUUAUCUGACGCUGAGGAACGAAAGCCAGGGGAGCGAACGGG